GAGAGUGUCAAUCAAAGGCAGAGCUCUCAGAGCUGGGAAGGAGGCUCUAGAUGGCGGCUGUGCCUUAGAGAGAGCGCGCUCAGCUCCCUGCCUUCGCCUCACUUUACGCAACUUUCCCUAACUUUCGGGCAGCCUCAGGGGGCCCCCGCAGCCCCCUGCCUCUCCUAGUGACUUACUGGGGUCGAUUUGAACCUUUUUAAGGGAGAAAAGCAGCUUUUGGGAGCUUUCUUUUUCUGCCUUGUUGGAAAGAAGCAGCCGUACUGAGAGCCCAGGUCGUUGUUUUUUCCAGCUUAGAAGCCAUGGCGCACCUCCAUUUUUGUGCGCUCUCUUAAUGAGGUUUUUCUCUCUUCCGGACCCUUUAUAGUUUUAAUUAUUGCUUUAUUUUUUGAUCAGCUAACAUAUUUGAGGAUUAUUUUAUUUAUUUUUCGUUUUUUACCGGAAGAUUUUGCCUUUAUUUUUAAUUCUUUUGGAUCUGAUAUUCUACCAGUAGCUAGGACUCCUGCUUUGGACAUACUACAUGGAUCAGUAAAUACCUGGGCACAGGACUUCAAAGCAAACACAGAUUCCCCUUCCCCCCUUAAUAUUUAAGAAUUAAAAGAUGAUGAGAAAUAAGGACAAAAGCCAAGAGGAGGACAGUUCGCUACACAGCAAUGUAUCGAGUCGUUCAGGCUCUGAAGAAGCUUCGGGCUCUGACUCUGGCAGCCAAUCAGAAAGUGAGCAGGGAAGUGAUGCCGGAAGUGGGCAUGGCAGCGAGUCAAAUAGCACGUCUGAAUCUUCGGAGAGUCAGUCUGAAUCUGAGAGUGAGUCCGCAGGCUCCAAAUCACAGCCAGUCCUUCCAGAAGCCAAAGAAAAGCCAGCGUCUAAGAAGGAAAGGAUAGCUGACGUGAAGAAGAUGUGGGAAGAAUAUCCAGAUGUUUAUGGAGUCAGACGGUCAAACCGAAGCAGACAAGAACCAUCACGCUUUAGUGUUAAGGAAGAGGCCAGUAGCGGGUCUGAGAGUGGGAGCCCAAAACGAAGAGGCCAGAGGCAGCUGAAGAAACAAGAAAAAUGGAAACGAGAGCCCUCCGAAGACGAAGGGGAACAAGGCACCAGUGCGGAGAGUGAACCCGAGCAGAAAAAAGUGAAAACAAGAAGACCUGUGCCCAAAAGAACAGUGCCCAAGCCUCGGGUUAAAAAGCAGCCUAAGAUCCAGCGUGGAAAAAGGAAAAAGCAAGAUUCUUCUGAUGAGGAAGAGGAGGAUGAUGAAGCUCCAAAAAGGCAGACUCGGCGGAGGGCCGCUAAAAAUGUCAGUUACAAAGAAGAUGAUGACUUUGAAACUGACUCAGAUGAUCUCAUUGAGAUGACUGGAGAAGGAGUUGAUGAACAGCAAGAUAAUAGUGAAACUAUUGAAAAGAUCUUAGAUUCCAGACUGGGAAGGAAAGGAGCCACUGGAGCAUCUACUACAGUGUAUGCUGUGGAAGCUAAUGGAGACCCAAGUGUUGACUUUGACCCUGGGAAGGGUGAAGGUGAAACCCAGUACCUCGUCAAGUGGAAGGGGUGGUCUCACAUCCACAGCACGUGGGAGAGCGAAGAGUCUUUACAGCAGCAGAAAGUGAAGGGCCUCAAAAAGCUAGAGAACUUCAAGAAGAAAGAGGAUGAAAUCAAACAAUGGUUAGGGAAAGUUUCUCCUGAAGAUGUAGAAUAUUUCAAUUGCCAACAGGAGCUGGCCUCAGAGUUGAAUAAACAGUAUCAGAUAGUAGAAAGAGUAAUAGCGAUGAAGACAAGCAAGUCUACACUGGGCCAGACAGAUUUUCCAGCUCACAGCCGGAAGCCAGCACCUUCAAAUGAGCCUGAAUAUCUAUGCAAAUGGAUGGGACUGCCCUAUUCAGAGUGUAGCUGGGAAGAUGAAGCUCUGAUUGGAAAAAAAUUCAACAACUGUAUCGACAGCUUCCAUAGUCGAAACAACUCAAAAACAAUACCAACAAGAGAAUGCAAGGCCCUGAAGCAGAGACCACGAUUUGUAGCUUUAAAAAAACAGCCAGCAUAUUUAGGAGGGGAAAAUCUGGAGCUCCGAGAUUAUCAGCUAGAAGGCCUCAACUGGCUCGCUCAUUCCUGGUGCAAGAGUAACAGUGUAAUCCUUGCGGAUGAAAUGGGCCUAGGAAAGACCAUCCAGACCAUAUCAUUCCUCUCCUACCUGUUCCACCAACACCAGCUGUAUGGACCCUUUCUUAUAGUCGUCCCUUUAUCCACCCUCACCUCAUGGCAGAGGGAAUUUGAGAUCUGGGCACCAGAGAUAAACGUAGUGGUUUACAUAGGUGACCUGAUGAGCAGAAAUACGAUACGGGAAUAUGAGUGGAUUCAUUCCCAAACAAAAAGGCUGAAGUUCAAUGCACUUAUAACAACAUAUGAGAUUCUUUUAAAAGACAAGACUGUGCUGGGCAGUAUUAACUGGGCCUUUCUGGGAGUGGAUGAAGCCCAUCGGUUGAAGAAUGAUGACUCUUUAUUGUAUAAAACUCUGAUUGAUUUCAAGUCCAACCAUAGGCUCCUGAUUACGGGCACCCCUCUUCAGAAUUCUCUCAAGGAGCUCUGGUCCUUGCUGCACUUUAUUAUGCCGGAGAAGUUUGAGUUCUGGGAAGAUUUUGAAGAAGACCAUGGAAAAGGGAGAGAGAAUGGAUAUCAGAGUCUUCAUAAGGUGCUAGAGCCUUUCCUUCUCCGGAGAGUCAAAAAAGAUGUUGAGAAGUCCCUUCCUGCCAAAGUGGAGCAGAUUCUCAGGGUAGAGAUGUCAGCCCUUCAGAAACAGUAUUAUAAAUGGAUUCUGACUAGGAAUUACAAGGCUCUUGCCAAAGGAACAAGAGGGAGCACAUCUGGUUUCUUAAAUAUUGUGAUGGAACUAAAAAAGUGUUGCAACCACUGCUACCUAAUUAAGCCUCCUGAAGAAAAUGAAAGGGAAAAUGGACAGGAGAUUCUUCUGUCGCUGAUCAGGAGCAGUGGGAAGCUGAUUCUGCUGGACAAGCUGUUGACGAGACUUCGCGAAAGGGGGAACAGAGUCCUCAUCUUCUCUCAGAUGGUGCGAAUGUUGGAUGUCCUGGCCGAGUACCUGACUAUUAAGCACUAUCCUUUCCAGCGUUUAGAUGGCUCCAUCAAGGGAGAAAUCCGCAAACAGGCACUGGAUCACUUUAAUGCUGAUGGGUCUGAGGACUUCUGUUUCCUGCUCUCGACAAGGGCUGGUGGCCUGGGAAUCAACUUGGCAUCAGCGGACACAGUUGUCAUCUUUGACUCUGACUGGAACCCCCAGAACGACUUGCAGGCCCAAGCUCGGGCCCAUAGAAUUGGUCAGAAGAAGCAGGUAAAUAUUUACCGCUUGGUUACGAAAGGGACCGUGGAGGAGGAAAUCAUAGAACGAGCCAAAAAGAAGAUGGUAUUAGACCACCUGGUGAUUCAGCGCAUGGACACCACUGGCCGGACAGUCCUGGAAAACAACUCUGGAAGGUCCAAUUCAAAUCCUUUUAAUAAAGAAGAGCUGACAGCUAUUUUGAAAUUUGGAGCAGAGGAUCUCUUCAAAGAGCUUGAAGGGGAGGAAUCAGAGCCUCAGGAAAUGGAUAUAGAUGAAAUUUUGCGCUUGGCUGAAACCAGAGAGAACGAAGUAUCAACAAGUGCCACCGAUGAGCUUCUGUCACAGUUUAAGGUUGCUAACUUUGCAACAAUGGAAGAUGAAGAAGAGCUAGAAGAACGUCCUCAUAAGGAUUGGGAUGAGAUCAUUCCAGAGGAGCAAAGGAAAAAAGUAGAGGAGGAAGAGCGGCAGAAGGAGCUAGAAGAAAUUUAUAUGCUGCCUCGAAUUCGUAGUUCCACUAAGAAGGCUCAGACUAAUGACAGUGAUUCUGACACUGAGUCUAAGAGGCAGGCUCAGAGAUCCUCGGCUUCCGAGAGUGAGACUGAAGACUCCGAGGAUGACAAGAAGCCGAAGCGCAGGGGGCGCCCCCGGAGCGUGCGCAAAGACCUGGUGGAGGGCUUCACGGACGCAGAGAUCCGCAGGUUCAUCAAGGCUUAUAAGAAAUUUGGUCUCCCUCUUGAGCGGCUGGAGUGCAUAGCCCGGGAUGCUGAGCUGGUGGAUAAGUCUGUGGCAGACCUGAAGCGCCUGGGUGAGCUGAUUCACAAUAGCUGUGUGUCUGCAAUGCAGGAAUAUGAAGAACAGCUGAAGGAAAACGCCAGCGAGGGGAAAGGUCCUGGAAAAAGGAGAGGCCCAACAAUCAAGAUAUCUGGAGUUCAGGUUAAUGUUAAAUCCAUUAUCCAACAUGAAGAAGAGUUUGAGAUGCUUCAUAAAUCUAUCCCUGUGGACCCUGAAGAAAAAAAAAAAUACUGCCUAACCUGUCGGGUCAAAGCGGCACACUUUGAUGUAGAGUGGGGUGUGGAGGAAGACUCUCGCCUGCUGCUGGGCAUUUAUGAGCAUGGCUAUGGAAACUGGGAGUUAAUUAAGACAGACCCAGAGCUGAACCUGACUGACAAAAUUCUGCCUGUGGAGACAGAUAAAAAGCCCCAGGGGAAGCAGCUACAGAACCGAGCUGACUACUUGUUGAAGCUGCUCAGGAAGGGCCUGGAGAAGAAGGGGGCUGUGGCAGGCGGGGAGGAGGCCAAAUUAAAGAAAAGGAAGCCUCGAGUAAAGAAGGAAAACAAAGCACCCAGGCUGAAAGAUGAGCAUGGAGUUGAGUUUUCAUCUCCUAGGCACUCAGACAAUCCAUCCGAAGAGGGAGAAGUAAAGGAUGAUGGCUUAGAAAAAAGCCCAGUGAAGAAAAAACAGAAGAAAAAAGAGAACAAAGAGAACAAAGAGAAACAAACGAGUUCUAGGAAAGACAAAGAAGGGGACAAAGAAAGGAAGAAGUCCAAAGAUAAGAAGGAGAAGCCUAAAGGUGGUGAUGCCAAAUCAUCAAAUAAAUCAAAGCGAUCUCAGGGUCCUGUCCAUAUUACAGCAGGAAGUGAGCCUGUGCCCAUUGGAGAGGAUGAGGAUGAUGACCUCGACCAGGAGACCUUCAGCAUCUGUAAGGAGAGGAUGAGGCCUGUGAAAAAGGCACUGAAACAGCUGGACAAACCUGACAAGGGACUUAAUGUACAAGAACAGCUUGAACAUACACGGAGCUGCCUGCUUAAAAUUGGAGACCGGAUAGCCAAGUGCCUUAAAGCCUACUCAGACCAGGAACACAUUAAGCUGUGGAGGAGAAACCUAUGGAUUUUUGUUUCUAAGUUUACAGAAUUUGAUGCUCGAAAACUACAUAAGUUAUACAAGAUGGCUCACAAGAAAAGAUCUCAAGAGGAGGAGGAGCAAAAGAAGAAAGAUGACAUGAUUGGUGGUAAAAAAACCAUUUUGACCAGAGGCCUCCAGCUCCAGUCGGGAUUCUCUGAUAUCUCAGUCUCACACCUCGCACAGCCUUCACCCUCAGAAGCCUCAUUUGCCUGCCUCCCAUGGCCCACAGAUGCAUGGACACCCCAGAGAUAACUACAGUCACCCCAACAAGAGACAUUUUAGUAAUGCAGAUCGAGGAGACUGGCAGAGGGAAAGGAAGUUCAGCUACGGUGCUGGCAAUAACAAUCCACCCUGGGGCAGUGACCGGCACCAUCAGUACGAGCAGCACUGGUACAAGGACCACCACUAUGGUGACCGGCGACACAUGGAUGCCCAUCGUUCUGGAAGCUAUCGGCCCAACAACCUAUCCCGGAAGAGACCGUACGAUCAGUACAGCAGUGACCGAGAUCACCGGGGCCAUAGAGACUACUACGACAGACAUCAUCAUGACUCCAAGCGGAGGCGAUCCGAUGAGUUUAGGCCUCAAAAUUACCACCUGCAGGAUUUCCGACGAAUGUCUGAUCACCGCCCCCCGAUGGGCUACCAUGGCCAGGGACCCUCGGACCACUAUCGCUCUUUCCACACAGACAAAUUGGGGGACUAUAAACAGCCACUGCCUCCACUCCACCCUGCAGGCUCGGAUCCUCGCUCACCCCCCUCUCAGAAAUCUCCUCAUGAUUCUAAGUCCCCCCUGGAUCACAGGUCUCCUUUGGAGAGAUCACUAGAACAGAAAAACAAUCCAGAUUAUAACUGGAACAUUCGGAAAACAUAAAGGACAGCUUGGGCAGGGGAGAGCAGGAGUCACCAAGCAUGGACACUUGGCUGGUGGCUGGUUUCGGGACGGGGUGGGGCUUCCAGACAUGCUGCUGCCAGUCCUGGCCGGCCAAGGAGCACUUCAGGGAGUGGGAGGCCUUUGGUGGCCGACUUUGGUCUGAGCACCGCUCCUGCUCUUCGGCCCCCACCCAACUCCAGCCCAGCUCAGGCCUCCCACCUCCAUGGGUGCUAGGAGGAUGGCAACUUCUGCAUCCCGGCUUCCUUGGGCUGUUCUCCAGUGAAGGGAUCGGGGAUCCCUUGAGUCAUGAAUGUCUUGUUGCCAGGUUCAGUGUCCCUGAACCUCACAGUGGUCAGGGGAAGGCACUGGUGCAUGAAGGCUGCCAGACCUGCUGGACAGUAUGUGAUGGGUUCACGAUGAUGUAACAGAUGCUGCUGAUGGGGCGGGGGGCUGGGGUGAGGGUGGGUCUCACAUCUAGGACUUGAGGGGGAGUAGGUUCACCCCUCCAGUGUGUUUCUGGGAGAAGUGAGGCACUCUGCCCACAUGUGAGACCUAUGGGGGUGGGAGUGGGGGCGGGGGCGAGGGCGAGGGCGAGAGCGAGAGGGAAGCCCUUCUGCUUCGCCUCUUCCCUGUGACACUAAUUCCUGUGCUAUCUUCGGUCUCCGGGGUGGCUUCCUUUUUCCCUGUUGAGGAGACUUGGGUCCCCUGGGGCUUUGGAGUACUGUGAGGUAGGCAGUGUGUGUCCGCGUGGGGCUUGCUGAUGCGGCAGUGGUGGGGCCUGGGGUGGGAGGGUGCUGUGGCCAGGGAACGGGAAUCCCUGGCAGACAGAAGCUCCUGCGUUGAGGGAGGGAAAGUGCAAGCAGAGGUGGCUUGCCAGCCAGCCAGCUGCUCACAGCUGGAGUAGGGACCCUGGGAGGGAAGGAGUGCAAACAGGAGGGAGGGGCCUUUCAGUAUUGGAGUAGGCCACUGGCUGCAGCUGCGUCUUAGUUUAGUUUCCUUGCACCGCUUGAAGAUAUGGACUGAAAGAAUCAUGUAUCUUCUGGUAUUCACAGGCUGGUCAGACAAGUCAGUUACCUGUGGGGAGAGCAGGCUCCCACCGCUACCUGGAGGUCCCGUUUCUUUUAGAGUAAGGGCUGUAAAGUAUAAGCCUAUGUUAUACUUCACAGAUAGAAAGCAUCCGAGGCCAGGGUAGCAGACUUCAGAUGGUUAGACUCCUGUGGGAGUUGGAUUGAGUCGGGACUGGGGGCUGGGCGGUUGCAUUAUGAAGCAGGCUCCUUUCAGCUUCCUGGCGUGGGGCCUUCUAAAAAUUCAUUUCCAGUACAGGUUGCCAGUAUUAAAGCAUCCAAAGCUUUUGUAGAUGGAGACAGAAACACUGACUUAAACGUAAGCAAUAGUGUGCCUCUGAGUAGCCGGACUCCAAACUGAGGAAAGCCCUUCCUGGGCAUGUACAGGGUGAAACCCAUGAAUAGGCUCUGCAGGCCUCGCCCUGGGCAGCACCGCUGGUGCCUCCACUAGUACCUGCUGGCAAUGUCUCCCCAGGACUCGUGUGGGGGGCUGGGCUGCUGCUCCCUACUUGGCUUCCUACGUGGGAGCCCGGGUCUCUGCAGCUCGCGCUGAGGGCCGGCAGACCCAGCACCCCUUAUUGCCGCGAGGUCCUUGGGUCACUGGGCCUUCCCUAUCCAUUCAUGUCCUGCAGCCCAGCCCAGCAACUGCUUGGAGGAGGCGGGGAAUUCAGCCUCCACCUUGGCACAAGGUGCAAAGGAAACCAGAGGUGGAGCUUCUUGCUGCUGCUGCUGCUGCUGCUGCUGCUGCUGCUGUUGCCACCCCCGGCUCGUCCAGCCCAACCAAAGCAAGGCUAGGUUGGCUUGCUGGGCCCCUGAUUGUUGCACCGACUCAGCAAGGCUUUUCUCUCCAGUUGUUGAUAGGAAAUGCAAGUUAUUCCCAAAGAUGUCUCAUCAUGAGGAAAGAGAGCUUCCCUUUGUUCACAUUCAGGACCUCUAGUGCCAUAAGAUGUAGCAGGAGGCAGUAUCAGCCAGAGCAGUGUUACAUUGAUUAUGAAUCACAGUGUAUUCCAGGAAACAUCUGUGUUGGGUGUUGAAGUGUGUCUGAAGAGUGGGCUGGUCAGAGGGCAGCACUUCCUCAUUGAUUUAAUCAGUGUGAUUAGCAUGUGUUUAAAUCGCAACCGAAGUUUGCACGGGCAGAAGUUCUCUCACUUCUCAGUGGGGGUGGCUGCCCAGGAGCUUGAGGCUGUAUUCUGUGGAGCCUGGCUUUAAGCGCUCGCCUUUUUGUUGGAGGCAGAGUGGGCUGAGCAAGGACGGAACUACCGUUACCAACAGCCUCGGUAAACAAGGAUGGGCCUGACGCACGCUAACUCUAGGACAGGACAAGGUGAGGCCCAGGUGGAUGCUGCGCCCUUGGGGAGCUGGCCUCAUGGCCCUUGGCCUGUUCUCCUCUCCCUUCAGUCAUUCCGUAGCCCCUCAAAGGGACAGCGGACACCUCCUGCUGCCCUGCAGAGGCCUUGAGGUGCUGGGUGUUCAUUGGGAGUUCCCACUAUGACGCAGAAGUCCUACAGACCAAAUCCACGUGUCAGCAGGAGGGGUGGCCGCGUAGCGAGGAGAGCCAUGCCAAGGGUCCAGGCUGCUUUAGUCCAUCUGUGCCCCUCUGGGGACAGGUGGUGUUCUUUAUUGUAAAAUUGUGGACUUUUAAACCUGUUGACUUUAACAGUAAUUAAUUUAUAUUUGUGAAAAUGCCACUGUCCUAGUGAUUUCUGAUGUAAAUAAUGUUGUUUAUAUAGUAUGUAUUAAAUUUUCCUACAUUGUAAAA